rnacentral:rRNA from 1 species
GACGAACGCUGGCGGCGUGCUUAACACAUGCAAGUCGAACGGAAAGGCCCUGCUUUUGUGGGGUGCUCGAGUGGCGAACGGGUGAGUAACACGUGAGUAACCUGCCCUUGACUUUGGGAUAACUUCAGGAAACUGGGGCUAAUACCGGAUAGGAGCUCCUGCUGCAUGGUGGGGGUUGGAAAGUUUCGGCGGUUGGGGAUGGACUCGCGGCUUAUGAGCUUGUUGGUGGGGUAGUGGCGUACCAAGGCUUUGACGGGUGGCCGGCCUGAGAGGGUGACCGGCCACAUUGGGACUGAGAUACGGCCCAGACGCCUACGGGAUGGAGCAGUGGGGAAUAGUGCACAAUGGGCGGAAGCCUGAUGCAGCAACGCCGCGUGCGGGAUGACGGCCUUCGGGUUGUGAACCGCGUUCGCCUGGGACGUAGCGUGGUUGACGGUAAUGGGUAAAGAAGCACCGGCUAACUACGUG